GACGGAGGGGGCUAGCGUUGUUCGGAAUGACUGGGCGUAAAGGGCGCGUAGGCGGCCGAUCAAGUCAGGUGUGAAAGCCUCGGGCUUAACCCGAGAAUUGCGCUUGAUACUGGUUGGCUAGAAGAUGGAAGAGAAAAGCGGAAUUCCUAGUGUAGAGGUGAAAUUCGUAGAUAUUAGGAAGAACACCAGAGGCGAAGGCGGCUUUUUGGUCCAUUCUUGACGCUGAGGCGCGAAAGCGUGGGGAGCAAAC
rnacentral:rRNA from 1 species